UUUAUAGCUUGCUAUAAAGAAUAGUUAGUGGCAGACGGGUGAGUAAUGCAUAGGAAUCUACCUAGUAGUAUGGGAUAGCCACUAGAAAUGGUGGGUAAUACUGUAUAAUCCCUGCGGGGGAAAGAUUUAUCGCUAUUAGAUGAGCCUAUGUUAGAUUAGCUAGUUGGUAGGGUAAAGGCCUACCAAGGCGAUGAUCUAUAGCUGGUCUGAGAGGAUGAUCAGCCACACUGGAACUGAGAUACGGUCCAGACUCCUACGGGAGGCAGCAGUGGGGAAUAUUGGACAAUGGGCGCAAGCCUGAUCCAGCUAUGCCGCAUGAGUGAGGAAGGCCUUAGGGUUGUAAAACUCUUUCAGUAGGGAAGAUAAUGACGGUACCUACAGAAGAAGUCCCGGCAAACUCCGUGCCAGCAGCCGCGGUAAUACGGAGGGGGCAAGCGUUGUUCGGAAUUAUUGGGCG
rnacentral:rRNA from 1 species